GCGACGAGUUUGAUCGGAUUUUAUUGAUAUUUUAUUCGCGUUUACAUUUUUAAACCGACCGAACCGAAGAUUUCUUUUGACCAUUGCCAUCGUCAGGACGAAAGAAUCGCCACUUAAAUCAUCUGGAUCGCCGAUCCUGUCGUCGGUCAGUCUACUUAUUAAGCUUCAGCACCUGCUGCAGUCACCAGAGCGCCAAUUAAGUCUACAGACAGAGAGCUGAGUGGUCCCACAUCAACAGUGUCCAGAGGCAGUCCUGUAUAUGUGCAUGCCUCCUCCUUGCGUGCUUCUCCUGCACCAUGUACAGCCUCCAAAAAUCAGCCCGCAGCCAUUUGUCAAGAUGUACCUUCAGUGCCAGUGAAGGCCCCCAUUCCAGUCCCAGUGGAACUUCUGCGCGUGUUCGUGGCGCUCACUGAAGCAGUAGCGCAAACCCCUGCCACACAUGAGCCAGAGACACGACUGGAUGAAGCAGUAAUACAGCCAGCAACAACUUCUCCUGCCCAGCUAAGGUAUUUUCCAAUACCAAGCACAAGGCAUGGCAAGGGAGAUGACCUGGAGUGAGUUUCAGACCACUGCCUUUUAUGAAAAGGAUAACAAAGAAAACAAAGAUCAAUUAUCUUGAUCAACUGAGAGAGGAAAAUGAAGCACACACGUGUGCACACAGACACGAGCAUGUACACACACACACAAACGCACACGCAUACACACACGCACGCACACACACACACUCGCACGCACGAACGCACAGACAUGCGCAUGUACACACACACACGCACACACACAGAUACACACAGUGCUUCCAGGCCCCCACCCCCCAACAUUGAACAUUGGAACAUUGUAAAAUGCCUUUUUUUGGGAAAGGUUUAUAUAUUCGUUCCCUUUGUUUAAGUGUAUGUUUGUGCUGUUGCCGCACAGUUUUUUUUACAUAGAUGUUGCAUACCUAGUAAUUAAAGAGUUUGUAUUGUAUAAGGGUGUCUUAAUAUGUGUGUGUA